AGUGAACGCUGGCGGUAGGCCUAACACAUGCAAGUCGGACGGCAGCACAGUAAGAGCUUGCUCUUACGGGUGGCGAGUGGCGGACGGGUGAGGAAUACAUCGGAAUCUACUUUUUCGUGGGGGAUAACGUAGGGAAACUUACGCUAAUACCGCAUACGACCUACGGGUGAAAGCAGGGGAUCUUCGGACCUUGCGCGAUUGAAUGAGCCGAUGUCGGAUUAGCUAGUUGGCGGGGUAAAGGCCCACCAAGGCGACGAUCCGUAGCUGGUCUGAGAGGAUGAUCAGCCAAGCUGGAACUGAGCCACGGUCCAGACUCCUACGGGAGGCAGCGGUGGGGAAUUUUGGACAAUGGGGGCAAGCCUGAUCCAGCCAUACCGCGUGGGUGAAGAAGCCCUUGGGGUUGUAAAGCCCUUUUUUGGGGAAAAAAAACAGGCAGGUUAAAACCCCGCUGUUCGGACGGUACCAAAAGAAUAAGCACCGGCAAACUUCGU
rnacentral:rRNA from 1 species